rnacentral:misc_RNA from 1 species
UUUUUUUUUUGUUUUUACGAUAUGACGACACCGCGUUUAGUGCACUUUAUUAGAUACAAAUGUAAUAUGGACUGAAUCAACGUAACAUGACCGCAGUUUUUUUACUAUAAUUAUUUUAUAUUGUUAAAAAUGCCUUGUAUAUUGCCAUAUUUCAAAAUAAAGAUGUAGCCAAGUACAAAAAUAAAUCGUAAAGUUUUCCAUUGCCGCUCAAAUUCGCAGGCACAACGGUCUCAAAAAUAAAAUUUUGGUGUAUUAUUUUGUAACAGCUUGAUUGACUGCAUAAUUAUGCCAUUUUUUGGUUGAGAGUGUUUUAGAAAAAGGCUAUCAUGGGAAAAUAUUCGGUUUAAAUACUUAGGGUUUGACUUACUGUGAUCACGUUACGCUAAAUUAUGUUUUCCUUCAUUACAUUAUGUCACAUCAAUUUAACAAUCAAUUGAAAACAUUAUGUACUAACAACUACAUUAAAAAUUGUGUAUAUAUCACAUAAUGUAUUUUGAUAUUAUACUAUAUUAAUUCUAUUGUAUUACAAAUGACUUCAUUAAUACGUGUGAUUAUAAUGUUUUAUUGAUAAAAACAUGUAUUUGAGUUAUCGACGCUAAUGCGUUUAGGCCAAACAAUAAAAAGACAGCUGUUUUAAAAAUCGAAUAACUAUAUAAAUAUAAAACUAAGAAUACAUAAAUAAGUUUUGUUCCUUAAAAUUAGUAAUACACAAUUAUACUUUUAUUAAUCACAAUUGCGACUGGAAACUUUAUUACUUAAUGAAAUUAUAAAAUUACUGACACAACAAUAGACAGUACAAAAAUAAUUUUAGACACAAA